rnacentral:misc_RNA from 1 species
GUAGGUGAACCUGCGGAAGGAUCAUUAUCGAGAGGGGGGUUCUCGCACCCCAGGGGUUUUGCCCCGCACCUUUCCACCCUGUGUGUAUUCUCCUUCGUUGCUUUGGCGGGCCCCGGGGCUUGGCCCCGGCGCGGGUCCCUCUAUGGAGGCCCCCGCGCGCGCCCGUCAGGGACCCAUUUAAAAUCUGUCUUAUCGGUGUUGUCUGAGCUUAUGAAUAAUCAAACUAAAACUUUCAACAACGGAUCUCUUG